UGACCUCAGAUCAGGCAAGGCUACCCGCUGAAUUUAAGCAUAUUAAUAAGCGGAGGAAAAGAAACUAACAAGGAUUCCCCUAGUAAUGGCGAAUGAAGCGGGAACAGCUCAAAUUUAAAAUCUCCGUUGCUUGCAACGGCGAAUUGUAGUUUCGAGAAGCACUUUCUCGGCGGAUCCGAGGUCGUCCAAGUUGCUUGGAACAGCACGUCGUAGAGGGUGACAACCCCGUCUGCGGCGAUCUCGGNCGUUCACGAUGUGCUUUCGACGAGUCGGGUUGUUUGGGAAUGCAGCCCAAAAUGGGUGGUAAACUCCAUCUAAAGCUAAAUAUUGGCACGAGACCGAUAGCGA
rnacentral:ncRNA from 1 species